rnacentral:rRNA from 1 species
CAUGAACGCUAGCGGCAGGCUUAAUACAUGCAAGCCGAGGGGCAGCAUGAAUGUAGCAAUACAUUUGAUGGCGACCGGCAAACGGGUGCGGAACACGUACACAACCUUCCUAUAAGUGGGGGAUAGCCCAGAGAAAUUUGGAUUAAUACCCCGUAACAUAAUGAUGUGGCAUCACAUUAUUAUUAUAGCUACGGCGCUUGUUGAUGGGUGUGCGGCUGAUUAGAUAGUUGGCGGGGUAACGGCCCACCAAGUCUACGAUCAGUAGCUGAUGUGAGAGAAUGAGCAGCAACACGGGCACUGAGCAACGGGCCAGACUCCUACGGGAGGCAGCAGUAGGGAAUAUUGGUCAAUGGACGCAAGUCUGACCCAGCCAUGCCGCGUGAAGGAUUAAGGUCCUCUGGAUUGUAAACUUCUUUUAUCUGGGACGAAAAAAGGCUAUUCUUAGUCACUUGACGGUACCAGAUGAAUAAGCACCGGCUAACUCCGUGCCAGCAGCCGCCGCCGUAA